rnacentral:rRNA from 1 species
GGUUAAGCGACUAAGCGUACACGGUGGAUGCCCUGGCAGUCAGAGGCGAUGAAGGACGUGCUAAUCUGCGAUAAGCGUCGGUAAGGUGAUAUGAACCGUUAUAACCGGCGAUUUCCGAAUGGGGAAACCCAGUGUGAUUCGUCACACUAUCAUUAACUGAAUCCAUAGGUUAAUGAGGCGAACCGGGGGAACUGAAACAUCUAAGUACCCCGAGGAAAAGAAAUCAACCGAGAUUCCCCCAGUAGCGGCGAGCGAACGGGGAGCAGCCCAGAGCCUGAAUCAGUGUGUGUGUUAGUGGAAGCGUCUGGAAAGGCGCGCGAUACAGGGUGACAGCCCCGUACACAAAAAUGCACAUGCUGUGAGCUCGAUGAGUAGGGCGGGACACGUGGUAUCCUGUCUGAAUAUGGGGGGACCAUCCUCCAAGGCUAAAUACUCCUGACUGACCGAUAGUGAACCAGUACCGUGAGGGAAAGGCGAAAAGAACCCCGGCGAGGGGAGUGAAAAAGAACCUGAAACCGUGUACGUACAAGCAGUGGGAGCACGCUUAGGCGUGUGACUGCGUACCUUUUGUAUAAUGGGUCAGCGACUUAUAUUCUGUAGCAAGGUUAACCGAAUAGGGGAGCCGAAGGGAAACCGAGUCUUAACUGGGCGUUAAGUUGCAGGGUAUAGACCCGAAACCCGGUGAUCUAGCCAUGGGCAGGUUGAAGGUUGGGUAACACUAACUGGAGGACCGAACCGACUAAUGUUGAAAAAUUAGCGGAUGACUUGUGGCUGGGGGUGAAAGGCCAAUCAAACCGGGAGAUAGCUGGUUCUCCCCGAAAGCUAUUUAGGUAGCGCCUCGUGAAUUCAUCUCCGGGGGUAGAGCACUGUUUCGGCAAGGGGGUCAUCCCGACUUACCAACCCGAUGCAAACUGCGAAUACCGGAGAAUGUUAUCACGGGAGACACACGGCGGGUGCUAACGUCCGUCGUGAAGAGGGAAACAACCCAGACCGCCAGCUAAGGUCCCAAAGUCAUGGUUAAGUGGGAAACGAUGUGGGAAGGCCCAGACAGCCAGGAUGUUGGCUUAGAAGCAGCCAUCAUUUAAAGAAAGCGUAAUAGCUCACUGGUCGAGUCGGCCUGCGCGGAAGAUGUAACGGGGCUAAACCAUGCACCGAAGCUGCGGCAGCGACGCUUAUGCGUUGUUGGGUAGGGGAGCGUUCUGUAAGCCUGUGAAGGUGUGCUGUGAGGCAUGCUGGAGGUAUCAGAAGUGCGAAUGCUGACAUAAGUAACGAUAAAGCGGGUGAAAAGCCCGCUCGCCGGAAGACCAAGGGUUCCUGUCCAACGUUAAUCGGGGCAGGGUGAGUCGACCCCUAAGGCGAGGCCGAAAGGCGUAGUCGAUGGGAAACAGGUUAAUAUUCCUGUACUUGGUGUUACUGCGAAGGGGGGACGGAGAAGGCUAUGUUGGCCGGGCGACGGUUGUCCCGGUUUAAGCGUGUAGGCUGGUUUUCCAGGCAAAUCCGGAAAAUCAAGGCUGAGGCGUGAUGACGAGGCACUACGGUGCUGAAGCAACAAAUGCCCUGCUUCCAGGAAAAGCCUCUAAGCAUCAGGUAACAUCAAAUCGUACCCCAAACCGACACAGGUGGUCAGGUAGAGAAUACCAAGGCGCUUGAGAGAACUCGGGUGAAGGAACUAGGCAAAAUGGUGCCGUAACUUCGGGAGAAGGCACGCUGAUAUGUAGGUGAAGUCCCUCGCGGAUGGAGCUGAAAUCAGUCGAAGAUACCAGCUGGCUGCAACUGUUUAUUAAAAACACAGCACUGUGCAAACACGAAAGUGGACGUAUACGGUGUGACGCCUGCCCGGUGCCGGAAGGUUAAUUGAUGGGGUCAGCGCAAGCGAAGCUCUUGAUCGAAGCCCCGGUAAACGGCGGCCGUAACUAUAACGGUCCUAAGGUAGCGAAAUUCCUUGUCGGGUAAGUUCCGACCUGCACGAAUGGCGUAAUGAUGGCCAGGCUGUCUCCACCCGAGACUCAGUGAAAUUGAACUCGCUGUGAAGAUGCAGUGUACCCGCGGCAAGACGGAAAGACCCCGUGAACCUUUACUAUAGCUUGACACUGAACAUUGAGCCUUGAUGUGUAGGAUAGGUGGGAGGCUUAGAAGUGUGGACGCCAGUCUGCAUGGAGCCGACCUUGAAAUACCACCCUUUAAUGUUUGAUGUUCUAACGUUGACCCGUAAUCCGGGUUGCGGACAGUGUCUGGUGGGUAGUUUGACUGGGGCGGUCUCCUCCUAAAGAGUAACGGAGGAGCACGAAGGUUGGCUAAUCCUGGUCGGACAUCAGGAGGUUAGUGCAAUGGCAUAAGCCAGCUUGACUGCGAGCGUGACGGCGCGAGCAGGUGCGAAAGCAGGUCAUAGUGAUCCGGUGGUUCUGAAUGGAAGGGCCAUCGCUCAACGGAUAAAAGGUACUCCGGGGAUAACAGGCUGAUACCGCCCAAGAGUUCAUAUCGACGGCGGUGUUUGGCACCUCGAUGUCGGCUCAUCACAUCCUGGGGCUGAAGUAGGUCCCAAGGGUAUGGCUGUUCGCCAUUUAAAGUGGUACGCGAGCUGGGUUUAGAACGUCGUGAGACAGUUCGGUCCCUAUCUGCCGUGGGCGCUGGAGAACUGAGGGGGGCUGCUCCUAGUACGAGAGGACCGGAGUGGACGCAUCACUGGUGUUCGGGUUGUCAUGCCAAUGGCACUGCCCGGUAGCUAAAUGCGGAAGAGAUAAGUGCUGAAAGCAUCUAAGCACGAAACUUGCCCCGAGAUGAGUUCUCCCUGACCCUUUAAGGGUCCUGAAGGAACGUUGAAGACGACGACGUUGAUAGGCCGGGUGUGUAAGCGCAGCGAUGCGUUGAGCUAACCGGUACUAAUGAACCGUGAGGCUUAACCUU